GCUGAGCUGAGUUACUCCAGCUUGUGACCCAAGUGGGAGCAUCAAUGUGAUGGAAUAACACUGAGACUUGCUGGGUUGGGCCUGUGUCUGCAAAAUGUUUGCCUGUCCGUUCCAAGUUGAGAGUUAAGUAUGGGGACGUUAGUGAAGGCCUAGGUCUCUUGACUCUUAGAGUGGAGGGCAUAGCGUGAGGCUGGUUUCACAGAUUCAAGAGAUGCAGCAUUUUGUCAACCCUAAACCAAUAUCAGAGAAUCCCAGUUCAGUAACUAUCUGGUUAAGCAAAGUUUGCUAAAUCCA
rnacentral:SRP_RNA from 1 species